GGGACCCCAGAGGCUUGCCAGUUAAGGGAUGGUGGUUCCCCAACCCCUCUGCUUGACUGCAUGAGAAACUUUAGCCCCUUGGCAAGGAUGCCUGCUCCUUUGAAAGAGGAAAUUGAAAUGAGGUGCAUUUGGGGGAUGAAUGAGGGUUGCCUCAAUCUUAGACAAAGAGAAUAAGAACGAGGUCCUAAGAAGAUGCCUUUUCCCAGGGCCAAAGAACAGAACCACCCAAGUUAGGAAAGUGUAUAACUCAUGGCCUCAACUCAGAUCACAUAUGGGGGAUAAAGGAAAGUCGAGGCCGUACGAAGUUGGGAGGGGCUGAGGUUCUGUACCAGCACAGCAGAAAGAGAGUAAACUCAUUCCCUUUGUCUGACAUAAGCAUGAACCACCUAUGGGAAGAAGCGAGGACAGAUGUGGGAGGCCAAUAGCCCUGCCACUGCAGUUGCAAGAGUGCUAUGUUCCAACUGUUCAGGAGAAAAGGGAGACCUGUGGCUGCCAGCCAAGCCAUCUGGCCACCCUCCUUCUCCAAACCUUCCAGACUUCUCAGUGCCUUUCUUUGGUGAGCAGACCUUCUUCUAGACCUGGAACAACCCACUCUCACUCAACCAGGAGCCCAUGCAGAUGAACCUGCACUGUCGCAAGCCGUUUCCUGCUCCUCUCUUCACCUGCUCACUCCUGUUGAUCCGGCAGGUCUCAGCUUGAACAUCCUUCUCUGGGAGCUUUCCUUGACCCUUUGUGUCUAAAGAGCUGUCCCUCUUUUUUAAAAAAAAAUUGUGGUAAAAUACAUAUAACAUAAGAUGUGCUAUCUUAACCAUUUAGAAGUAUAUAAUGUAGUGGCAUUAAGUCCAUUCAUGCUGUUGUGCUAACAUCACCACCAUCCAUCCACAGAACUCUCUCCAUCUUGCAAAACUGAAAGUCACUGCCCAUUAAAUGAUUAAGUCCCCAUCUCUCCCUCCCCAGCCCCUGGCAACAAACAUUCUAUUUUCUGUCUCUAUGAAUUUGUCUGCACUAAAUACCUCACACAUCAGUAGAAGCAUAUGGUAGGUAUUUAUUUGCCCUUUUGUAACUGGCUCCUUUCUUUUUUCUUUUUUCUUUUUUUGGAGAUAGACGCUCGCUCUGUC